rnacentral:rRNA from 1 species
CCGCUCAUUCUAUACCCCAUUAUUUGCCCGACCCCUGUCUGCUCAGUUUUAGGUUGGGGUGACCACGGAGUAUAAAAUAACCUCCAUGAAGAAGGGGAUAUUUCCCUUAUUAGAGAACCACACUUCCAAGAACUAAUAAAUUAAUUUUCAAUGACCCGAUACCCGAUAAUCGAUCAACGAACCAAGUUACCCUGGGGAUAACAGCGCAAUCCACCCUGAAAGCCCUUAUUAACAGGUGGGUUUACGACCUCGAUGUUGGAUCAGGGUAUCCCAGUGGUGCAGCAGCUACUGAGGGUUCGUUUGUUCAACGAUUAAAACCCU